rnacentral:rRNA from 1 species
GACGAACCGUGCGAACGUUAUUCGGAAUCACUGGGCUUAAAGCGCGUGUAGGCGGGACGGCACGUCCGACGUUGAAAUCCCCCGGCUCAACCGGGGAACGGGCGCGGAUACGACCGUCCUGGAGGAACGUAGGGGGACCUGGAACUUCCGGUGGAGCGGUGAAAUGCGUUGAGAUCGGAAGGAACGCCCGUGGCGAAAGCGAGGUCCUGGACGUUUACUGACGCUGAGACGCGAAAGCCAGGGGAGCAAACGGG